rnacentral:rRNA from 1 species
UACGGAGGGUGCAAGCGUUAAUCGGAAUUACUGGGCGUAAAGCGUGCGCAGGCGGUUUGUUAAGUCUGUUGUGAAAUCCCCGAGCUCAACUUGGGAAUUGCAAUGGAUACUGGCAGGCUGGAGUAUGGUAGAGGAAGGUGGAAUUCCCGGUGUAGCAGUGAAAUGCGUAGAGAUCGGGAGGAACACCAGUGGCGAAGGCGGCCUUCUGGACCAAUACUGACGCUCAUGCACGAAAGCGUGGGGAGCAAACAGG